UACGAAGGGUGCAAACGUUGCUCGGAAUUAUUGGGCGUAAAGCGCACGUAGGCGGCUUAGCAAGUCGAGUGUGAAAGCCCCGAGCUUAACUUGGGAACUGCGCUCGAAACUACUUGGCUAGAGUGUGGCAGAGGGAGGUGGAAUUCCACGUGUAGCGGUGAAAUGCGUAGAGAUGUGGAGGAACACCGAUGGCGAAGGCAGCCUCCUGGGCCAACACUGACGCUCAUGCACGAAAGCGUGGGGAGCAAACAGG
rnacentral:rRNA from 1 species